rnacentral:rRNA from 1 species
GACGAACGCUGGCGGCGUGCCUAAUACAUGCAAGUAGGACGCAGUUGCGAACGGGGGAGUAACGCGUAGGUAACUGCCUAUUAGAGGGGGAUAACUAUUGGAAACGAUAGCUAAUACCGCAUACUAGUAGAUGGACCUGCGUUGUAUUAGCUAGUAGGUAGGGUAAUGGCCUACCUAGGCAACGAUCCAUAGCCGACCUGAGAGGGUGAUCGGCCAAACAGGGACGGAGAAACGGACCAGACUACUACGGGAGGCAGCAGUAGGGAAUCUUCUGCAAUGGGGGGAACCCUGACCGAGCAACGCAGAGUGAGGGAAGAAGGUUUUCGGAUCGUAAAGAUCUGUGGUUAAGGAAGCGGUACUUAACCAGAAAGGGACGGCUAACUACGUGCCAGCAGCCGCGGUAAUAC